AUUCAGGCUAAACCAUUAUCCAUCGAUUCAUGAAGUGUCUUAAGAUCUUUAAUUCUCAAAUCUAUACCCUUUUAAAAACUUAAUUCCAAAUUAAGUAUAUGAAACAUAUAUUUCUGUUUGUAGAACUAUUCUACUAAAACUUCAAGUGAAGCAUACCAUAUAUUUCAAAUCAAAAUCUAAUUUUCAAAUCUAUGUUUAACAAU
rnacentral:lncRNA from 1 species